rnacentral:lncRNA from 1 species
CAACUCCAACAGACACUUUCACUUUUUUCGCAGACAGAUCAUCAUCAGUAGGUGGUGCCAUUCGACCUAUGCAGAUUUUGCAGUUAAGAUCAAAGAGAUGAUUUUUGUGUUGACUUGUGGUGUCUGGAGAUGCAGAUUCAUUUCCUUCUUUAUCUUUCUCAGCUUCCUCUGACUUCUCAUGCAACUUCAUCAUAUUAGGUUCCUGAAUUUCCAUAACUUCUUGUUCUUUCAUUGGUGUUUCGCUUUCAAUUUCAAUUUCGCCUUUGUGAGUAAUUUUUGUGAUAGGUCUUCUUUCAACUUCCCUCUGUUCUUUCUCAAUCAUUUCAAUUGUGUGUCUGUUUUCUCUUUGUCUCCAAGCAGCCAGUUCUUUGGAGGCCAGUUCUUCUGGGCUCAUUUUUAUUAGAUGGUCUGGAGUAACCUCUCCUUUCAGUACUUUUUUGAACAAUAUAUUAUUUUUAGGAUCUUUUAGAUUGAACAUUAAACUUCUGUAUUUGUUCUUAUAUUUUGAGUCAGUGUCCCGAAAAAAAGAAAACAGUUCUCUUUCAAUCCUUGUGGCAACUUUUGCUGCUCUCUCCUCAGGAAUCUUUAAACUAGAGUCUGUCAACCUUUUCAUCAGAAUUUCCUUAAGAGAUUGCUUAACGCUAUGUCUUAUCUGAUCAGCAGAAGGUUUGGAAGCUGGCACGUUUGGUAAAUGUGUUGCACUGGUUGGUCCUUUCUCAUUUUUCUUUUUCUUAAUUUCUUGUUUCUCAUGAACACCUGAUUUUGUGGACUUUUCAACCACACUCAGUGACUCUUUACUAAUUUUUUCACCUUUUUCUUCAGAGGAGCGCCGAGGAAUUACAGCAGUUUGUGAUACUUUACGAGCAGGAACAUGUUGGCCUUUUUUAGUAUCUGAGUCUCUGGAUUCUGACAAGUUCUUCCCAUCACCAGAUUCCCGUUUGAAAAUUUUGACUUUGUGUUUCCCUGUGUCCUCUGUCUGCUUUCCUUUUUCAGUUCCUACAUUCAGAUUACAAGUAGGCCCUUGCUUUGACAUCCCUGGUUUUUCAUACUCAAUUGUUUUUUCUUCCUUGUUGCUGUCAAUUUUCACUUGAGUAUCCAGAACACUUUGAUCCAAACACUCUGCCUUUUUGUCUUCUUCGGCACAGCAUUUCACACACACAUAUUCUUUAUCUUCUUCGCCCAUCUGCUGCGCUUGAGAAAGACUCAGUCCAACACAAUCACCAUGAAACCAGUCAUCGCACCUACCACAGCCUACCAUAAACCUGUUGCCAUGUGGCUUUUUGCAAAAGCCACACUGCUUGUUGGGCACCCAAACAUGUUUGCUUUCACUAGCAGGGGUAUGCUCCAAGCCUUCCCUUUUAACAGUUGAAAUGUUAUCUGGAAUGAACAACGGGGGUUCAUCAAGUGAAAGACUUUUGCUACUUCUUCUCUGGCGAGGUUGAAGAUUCUUAUCAGUUCUUUUUGGUUUGUUUUUUUCUUUAUCAUCCUCCUUCACAUGUUCUACCA